AUUCUCGUGAUCAUUCAUUGAGUGCAGUUUCUCUUAUAAUUUGUAUCGCUUAUCUAGAGAUGAUUGAACAAAAUUAUUAUCGUUCCAAUUCGAAAAAUCUAUGAAUCAAAACACAAACACAUCCCCUCUCUCUCUAGAUAGUGCCACCACCGUGUAUAUAUAUGGGGGUGUGUGAACUUUACACUUUUGUGGAUUGCACUCAUAUCUACAAAGCAACCAGUGGAGGCAUCAAUUCUGAAGGUACUCUUAUAUUUUAUUUUAAAAAUAUAUGAUGCCGCAUGCUUAUGUAGUAUGUUCCUUUAAUGUUCCUUUAAUGUGUUAGCAUAUUGGGGAAUAGCAUAGGCUGUGUUAAAACUUUGGAUUACCUAACUAUGAAUAAAAACAGUUUCUUUACUCCUUAGAAUUGCAUUAGUGAAGUCAUAUUAUGUUGAUCAAAUGUUUUUAAAAGGAUUUUGAGCAUUGUGCCUGCAAUUAUUGUGCUAUGCAGAUUUUAAGGUAAAGAAAGCUUAUAAGUAUGCUUGUAUUGAUAUGAUGAGUUUGAGAAAGUUUAUUCUAGAUACAACAUUAAAAAGGUGUAUAUGAUUAUUAGGAUAUGGUGUAUACAAAUAUUAGUAUAUGUUUGAGUUUAAGUACGUAUUGUGGAUAGUCAUAAUUGCAUUAAGUAUUUUGAGAAUGUAACCAAAUUUAAAUAUUUAUUUAAGUUCUUAAGAAUUAACUAAAAGUUAUUAGAAACCCACUAAUUGGACUUCAAAUAAUUGAAAUGGCAUAGAUGAGUUCAACGAUUCCUCGUCGAUGUGAGAUUGUAAGAUAGUAUGAAGAGUAUUGGUGGAAUCCAGUGCAUGAUAUGGGCCGACAUAUUGAAGAGAUGUUAGUAAGGUGGAAGGAGGUGAGGCAACUAGGCCAUAUGAUCACUGGUCGUGAGGCUACCUGCCUCCUUAUUGAUACCUUGCUAGAAGAAUGGCUACAAGUGGUCGAAUCGAUUAAUAAUUAUUUAUGGACAGUUGCUAUGCCAACCUUGCCUCGAGAGAUUGAAUAUGAGGUCUUCUGUGCAGAGCUGACGGUACAGUGGGGACAGGCCUGAGAUGAUGCACUUGCAAACCCUGAGGAGAAUAGUUUACCUACUUAGAUGUACAUUCAUGAAGAUGCACCUCCACCUUUUUUAGACGAUGAGGCGUAGCCUUCCAAGAAACCUAGAUUUUAUGAAGACUGGAUUAGUGACGAUGAUGGCGAGGAUGAGUAGUGAUGUCUUAGUAGAUUUUAUUAGGUUUAGUUCUUGUUUAUGUCAAGUAAGAUUUAUUUUGCUUUCCAGUUGAUUUGCGUCGAACACUCUUUUAUUAUUUUGUAUUUCUCUUAAUUAUGUUAUCAUUUACCUUUUUCGCUUGAUUAUGUUAAAAUAUAUUUAUUGCUC
rnacentral:lncRNA from 1 species